rnacentral:lncRNA from 1 species
UGGUGAAAACUGUGCUAUUUUAAGCCCACAUGGAAGUAUGUCUUUUUUUUUUUUUUUUAAAAUAAGGACCAUCUGCUACCGGCCCCAGCCCAGAUGAUACAGUUGGAGCCUACCCACAGCAUCCUCUCCCGCCUUCAGACGGUUCCAGGAACGAGAGUGAGUCAGACUCAGCUGAAGCACGUCUUGCUAACCCAAGCAAUAGCCCAGGGGCCCAGCAUAGGGGACCACCUGCUCCCAGGGCAGGUGUUCCCUGCAACCUCUCCACACAGGGAAGGAAUCUCACCCUGAGCUUCAUGGGGCACUCAGACCCGCCUUCCAGAUGUGCCCCUUCCCUUUCCAAGGGACUGCAGCCAGCCACAAGUUCAAGCGCAGCUGCUACAGCUCCUGGCCCUGGCAGCUUGUCACAAAGCGCGUCACACAGUGAAGCUGGUGGCUCACAGCUCGGUCACUUCCUGCCAGUGGCGGCUCUCAGAAGAACUCCUGGGUCUACUUUAGGUGCAAAAAGGGUAAUUGCUAUCAGGAAAGGACGACCAGGGGUGGCGUCGUAGGCAGCUGUGUCUCUGGGCCAUUGAGAAGGUACCUUUAAACACUAGUGGCUCAGCAAUGCUACCCAGCUAUCGGCCCAGGUGCAGCUUUCAGCUCUCCACCUGGCUGCCCUUCCUUAGCAACGAAUGUCUCAUUGUGAAGAGAGGCCAUUAGCUUCCAGUGCACAUCUGGCUUACAGACCAUGCUUGCUCCUCUCAAGUGUGAGGCAAAUACAGGAUUAUCAGACCCAUCUAUGAUGCCAGCAAAUGUGAAGGAGGACCACACAUGGGAAGGGUUUGUUCUGCUGCCCAGCGAUCGAUCAUGUUUUGUAUCAUACGGAGCUGUGACUGUGCCAUCUGAGUAUGCUGAGAAGCUGUAGAGACCUGGAAGGCCAGACUCUCUGGACUUGUCACCACCCCAAUGCACUUCUUGAGCCCUAGAACAGCCUCCAACCCCAGCCC